AUGAACGCUGGCGGCGUGCUUCACACAUGCCAGUCGCACGGAAAGGCUCCUGCUUGCAGGGGUACUCGAGUGGCGAACGGGUGAGUAACACGUGGGUGAUCUGCCCUGCACUUCGGGAUAAGCCUGGGAAACUGGGUCUAAUACCGGAUAGGACCACAUUUUGGAUGGUGUGGUGGAAAGUUUUUCGGUGUGGGAUGAGCUCGCGGCCUAUCAGCUUGUUGGUGGGGUAAUGGCCUACCAAGGCGUCGACGGGUAGCCGGCCUGAGAGGGUGUACGGCCACAUUGGGACUGAGAUACGGCCCAGACUCCUACGGGAGGCAGCAGUGGGGAAUAUUGCACAAUGGGCGCAAGCCUGAUGCAGCGACGCCGCGUGGGGGAUGACGGCCUUCGGGUUGUAAACUCCUUUCGCUAGGGACGAAGCGUUUUUGUGACGGUACCUGGAGAAGAAGCACCGGCUAACUACGUG
rnacentral:rRNA from 1 species